rnacentral:rRNA from 1 species
UACGUAGGGUGCAAGCGUUGUUCGGAAUUAUUGGGCGUAAAGAGCUCGUAGGCGGUUUGUCGCGUCUGCUGUGAAAACUCGGGGCUUAACCCCGGGCCUGCAGUGGGUACGGGCAGACUAGAGUGCGGUAGGGGAGACUGGAAUUCCUGGUGUAGCGGUGAAAUGCGCAGAUAUCAGGAGGAACACCGGUGGCGAAGGCGGAUCUCUGGGCCUUACCUGACGCUCAGGUGCGAAAGCUAGGGGAGCGAACAGG